GAUGAACGCUGGCGGCGUGCCUAAUACAUGCAAGUCGAGCGAACAGACGAGGAGCUUGCUCCUCUGCCGUUAGCGGCGGACGGGUGAGUAACACAUGCAUAACCUACCUAUAAGACUGGGAUAACUUCGUGAAACCGGAGCUACUACCGGCUAAUAUAUUUAACCGCAUGGUUCAAUAGUGAAAGACGCCUUUCCUGUCACUUAUAGAUGAAUCCGCGCCGCAUUAGCUAGUUGGUAAGGUAACAGCUUACCAAGGCAACGAUGCGUAGCUGAGCUGAGAGGGUGAUCGGCCACACUGGAACUGAGACACGGUCCAGACUCCUACGGGAGGCAGCAGAAGGGAAUCUUGCGCAAUGGGCGAAAGCCUGACGGAGCAACACCGCGUGAGUGAUGAAGGUCUUCGGGUCGUAAAACUCUGUUAUUAGGGAAGAACAAAUGUGUAAGUAACUAUGCACGUUUUGACGGUACCUAAUCAGAAAGCCCCGGCUAACUACGUG
rnacentral:rRNA from 1 species